UGGGGAAUAUUGGACAAUGGGCGAAAGCCUGAUCCAGCCAUGCCGCGUGUGUGAAGAAGGUCUUCGGAUUGUAAAGCACUUUAAGUUGGGAGGAAGGGCAUUAACCUAAUACGUUAGUGUUUUGACGUUACCGACAGAAUAAGCACCGGCUAACUCUGUGCCAGCAGCCGCGGUAAUACAGAGGGUGCAAGCGUUAAUCGGAAUUACUGGGCGUAAAGCGCGCGUAGGUGGUUUGUUAAGUUGGAUGUGAAAUCCCCGGGCUCAACCUGGGAACUGCAUUCAAAACUGACUGACUAGAGUAUGGUAGAGGGUGGUGGAAUUUCCUGUGUAGCGGUGAAAUGCGUAGAUAUAGGAAGGAACACCAGUGGCGAAGGCGACCACCUGGACUAAUACUGACACUGAGGUGCGAAAGCGUGGGGAGCAAUCA
rnacentral:rRNA from 1 species